CAACUGGCGGCGUGCCUAAUCAUGCUUCUUCGAGCGGACAGAAUGGGUAGCUUGCUCCUUCCAUGUUAGCGGCGGACGGGUGAGUAACACGUGGGUAACCUGCCUGUAAGACUGGGAUACUCCGGGAAACCGGGGCUAAUACCGGAUGGUUGUCUGAACCGCAUGGUUCAGACAUAAAAGGUGGCUUCGGCUACCACUUACAGAUGGACCCGCGGCGCAUUAGCUAGUUGGUGAGGUAACGGCUCACCAAGGCGACGAUGCGUAGCCGACCUGAGAGGGUGAUCGGCCACACUGGGACUGAGACACGGCCCAGACUCCUACGGGAGGCAGCAGUAGGGAAUCUUCCGCAAUGGACGAAAGUCUGACGGAGCAACGCCGCGUGAGUGAUGAAGGUUUUCGGAUCGUAAAGCUCUGUUGUUAGGGAAGAACAAGUGCCGUUCAAAUAGGGCGGCACCUUGACGGUACCUAACCAGAAAGCCACGGCUAACUACGUGCCAGCAGCCGCGGUAAUACGUAGGUGGCAAGCGUUGUCCGGAAUUAUUGGGCGUAAAGGGCUCGCAGGCGGUUUCUUAAGUCUGAUGUGAAAGCCCCCGGCUCAACCGGGGAGGGUCAUUGGAAACUGGGGAACUUGAGUGCAGAAGAGGAGAGUGGAAUUCCACGUGUAGCGGUGAAAUGCGUAGAGAUGUGGAGAACACCAGUGGCGAAGGCGACUCUCUGGUCUGUAACUGACGCUGAGGAC
rnacentral:rRNA from 1 species